CCUACGGGAGGCUGCAGUGGGGAAUAUUGCACAAUGGGGGAAACCCUGAUGCAGCAACGCCGCGUGAGCGAUGAAGGCCUUCGGGUCGUAAAGAUCUGUUCUAAGGGAAGAAUACUGACGGUACCUUAGGAGGAAGCCCCGGCUAACUACGUGCCAGCAGCCGCGGUAAUACGUAGGGGGCUAGCGUUAUCCGGAAUUACUGGGCGUAAAGGGUGCGUAGGCGGACCUUCAAGUCAGAGGUGAAAGGCUACGGCUCAACCGUAGUACGCCUUUGAAUCUGUAGGGCUUGAGUGCAGGAGAGGAGAGUGGAAUUCCCAGUGUAGUGGUGAACUGCGUAGAUAUUGCGAGCAACACCAGUUGCGAAGGCGGCUCUCUGGACUGUAACUGCCGCUGAGGCACGAAAGCGUGGGGAGCGAACAGGAUUAGAUCCCCCGGUAGUC
rnacentral:rRNA from 1 species